UACGAAGGGGGCUAGCGUUGCUCGGAAUUACUGGGCGUAAAGGGCGCGUAGGCGGACAGUUUAGUCAGAGGUGAAAGCCCAGGGCUCAACCUUGGAAUUGCCUUUGAUACUGGCUGUCUUGAGUUCGGGAGAGGUGAGUGGAAUGCCGAGUGUAGAGGUGAAAUUCGUAGAUAUUCGGCGGAACACCAGUGGCGAAGGCGACUCACUGGCCCGAUACUGACGCUGAGUGAGCGAAAGCCAGGGGAGCAAACGGG
rnacentral:rRNA from 1 species